GGGGGGGGGGGGGGGGGGGGGGGGGGGGGGGGGGGGGGGGGGGGGGGGGGGGGGGGGGGGGGGGCGGCCGCAGGCUCCAGGCCGGGUUUUGCGCGACGCCCGCCCUCCUGUUAGAAAUAGGAAAAUUCAAUAAUCAAAGCAAAGGGGAGCGCGAGGAGGAAAAAUCCGGGAUCAGGGCAAGUUUGAUGGCGCAUGCGCUCUGCUGCCUCCAUCCCAAACACACACACAUUUCCCUUGACUUGGAAAGUCAACCAAAGCAGCCCCAAGUGCAGGGAAAAGAGACUUCACCAAGUGAAGGGAGGCCAUCUAAUUCACACUGUCUUCACCUGAGACCACCUCCAAAACAAAGAGCCUGACUUCUCUCCUGCCUUUGCACACUGGAAUGGACCUUGAAGCCGGUGACUUCUCAAUGCAAGGUACUAGCUUUUGUUCUGUGACCAAACUGUUCUGAAGCAGGACUGGAGUGCGUGAUUUUGGCAUUCCAGAGCCUUCAUUCCAGUUCUUGGGAAAUCUCUAGCCCAUGAAGUUUGAAAGAGCAGCAGGAAAUCAGUGGCCUGGGUGGUGAAUGCGUGGUGGGAUGUUGGUUUGGCUUGGGCUGGGUUUGCCCCUGCCCAGCUCUGCACAGACUCCCAGCUGACACAGCAGAGCUCUGGUUCCAGCAGCUCUUGCUCUUUACCUUCUUCCCAACGAGCUGCUGUGCAGUGUUAACGGCUGGCUGAGCUGUACACACGGGAGUCCCCUGGGUGAGCAUUGUGUGGGACAGUUUCUGAUUGACUUGAUUCAUAAAAGGACUUUGAGGAUGUCUGUGGUCACGGUGGGUAACUCAGAGAGGUUGUGAGGGGGUGGGACUGUUUCUAAAAGCUGUUUUACUUUCUUCUCUGCUCGGCUACUGUCACAGCUUCUCUGCAAAGAAAGGUAUGACACAAAAUUGGGAUAAUACGUUUCUUCUCAAUGGGUUGGGGAUGUGGGAGGUACCUGGUGGCACUGCCAUGGUGCUGCAGGUACAGGGGGCCGUGUCUGGCCUUUGCAUGACAUCACAUGGGCUCUGUAGGGCAGAGAGGAAUUGUCA
rnacentral:lncRNA from 12 species